AUCUGGUCUGGUCAUCACCCGAGAGCCGAUUUAUCUUUAUUCUAUGGAUUGGAUAAAAAUUGUAUACAUUAUAUUACAACGCUGGGUAGGUAUCUCAUUCGUCAUCAACUGCUGUGUACAAUUCAAGACGAUAUUAUAAUCGUUUUGUAUACCUAUCUACACAAAUAUAGGAGUUGGAUAAUACGUAUUACGUUGUUAAAUUUUCAUUAUCCACUGUGUAAAAUCCAAAUCAAAGUAAGUAUAAACAGGUAUACGUAUACCAGGG